CACGUAGGGGCCAAGCGUUGUCCGGAUUUAUUGGGCGUAAAGAGCUCGUAGGCGGCUCGGUAAGUCAGGUGUGAAACCUCCAGGCUCAACCUGGAGACGCCACCUGGUACUGCUGUGGCUAGAGUCCGGUAGGGGGAGCGUGGAAUUCCUGGUGUAGCGGUGAAAUGCGCAGAUAUCAGGAGGAACAUCAGCGGCGAAGGCGGCGCUCUGGGCCGGAACUGACGCUGAGGAGCGAAAGCGUGGGUAGCAAACAGG
rnacentral:rRNA from 1 species